UACGAAGGGGGCUAGCGUUGUUCGGAAUUACUGGGCGUAAAGCGCACGUAGGCGACUAUUCAAGUCAGAGGUGAAAGCCUGGAGCUCAACUCCAGAACUGCCUUUGAAACUAGAUAGCUAGAAUCAUGGAGAGGUGAGUGGAAUUCCGAGUGUAGAGGUGAAAUUCGUAGAUAUUCGGAAGAACACCAGUGGCGAAGGCGGCUCACUGGACAUGUAUUGACGCUGAGGUGCGAAAGCGUGGGGAGCAAACAGG
rnacentral:rRNA from 1 species